CCUACGGGUGGCAGCAGUGGGGAAUAUUGCACAAUGGGGGAAACCCUGAUGCAGCGACGCCGCGUGAGUGAAGAAGUAAUUCGUUUUGUAAAGCUCUAUCAGCAGGGAAGAAAAUGACGGUACCUGAGUAAGAAGCCCCGGCUAAAUACGUGCCAGCAGCCGCGGGAAUACGGAGGGGGCACGCGUUCUACGGAUUUACUGGGUGUAAAGGGAGCGUAGACGGCAGUGCAAGUCUGGAGUGAAAGGGGGGGGCUCAACCCCCGGACUGCUCUGGAAACUGUAAGGCUGGAGUGCAGGAGAGGGAAGUGGAAUUCCUGGUGUAGCGGUGAAAUGCGUAGAUAUUAGGAGGAACACCAGUGGCGAAGGCGGCUUACUGGACUGUAACUGACGUUGAGGCUCGAAAGCGUGGGGAGCAAACAGGAUUAGAUACCCCAGUAGUC
rnacentral:rRNA from 1 species